rfam:Angiostrongylus costaricensis strain Costa Rica genome assembly, scaffold: ACOC_scaffold0002241
GUCAUUCUGGCGAAGUGGUCCAAGGCGCUGCGUUCAGGUCGCAGUCCUCUGCGGAGGGCGCAGGUUCGAAUCCUGCCGAUGACA